rnacentral:rRNA from 1 species
UACGAAGGGGGCUAGCGUUGUUCGGAUUUACUGGGCGUAAAGCGCACGUAGGCGGAUCGUUAAGUCGGGGGUGAAAUCCUGGAGCUCAACUCCAGAACUGCCUUCGAUACUGGCGAUCUUGAGUCCGGAAGAGGUGAGUGGAACUCCUAGUGUAGAGGUGGAAUUCGUAGAUAUUCGCAAGAACACCAGUGGCGAAGGCGGCUCACUGGCCCGAUACUGACGCUGAGGCGCGAAAGCGUGGGGAGCAAACAGG